CCAGCUCCAAUAGCGUAUAUUAAAGUUGUUGCAGUUAAAAAGCUCGUAGUUGGAUUUCUGGGAGAGUGCCAAUGUCGUCUUGUUGACUGUGCAGCGGCGCUCUUCCAUCCUUCUGUUAACGUUUCUGAUAUUCAUUUAUUGGUCUCGGGCUCAGAUAUUUUACCUUGAGAAAAUUAGAGUGUUCCAGGCAGGCUCGCGCCGGAAUACAUUAGCAUGGAAUAAUAGAAUAGGACUUUAGUCUCCUUUGUUGGUUUGAGGGACUGAAGUAAUGAUUAAUAGGGAUAGUUGGGGGCAUUAGUAUUUAAUUGUCAGAGGUGAAAUUCUCGGAUUUGUUAAAGACUAACUUAUGCGAAAGCAUUUGCCAAGGAUGUUUUCA
rnacentral:rRNA from 1 species